UUUAAGUGCAGUUAUGAAUUUUGUAUCCAACAUUUGACCGUUUAUCUUAUUUAAAAUUUUUUAUGAAUAAUAUUUUUAUUACUAUUAAUUAGAUGAUAAAACAUGAAUAGUCUUUUAUGCGUGACUUAUUUUUUUAAUUUUUUCAUAAUUUUUUUAAAUAAGAUAGACGGUUAAAUGUUAGACACGGAGAUCCACAACUGCACUUAAA
rfam:Oryza barthii chromosome 7, whole genome shotgun sequence.